AUGAACGCUGGCGGCGUGCCUAAUCCAUGCAAGUCGAGCGAACAGACGAGGAGCUUGCUCCUCUGACGUUAGCGGCGGACGGGUGAGUAACACGUGGAUAACCUACCUAUAAGACUGGGAUAACUUCGGGAAACCGGAGCUAAUACCGGAUAAUAUAUUGAACCGCAUGGUUCAAUAGUGAAAGACGGUUUUGCUGUCACUUAUAGAUGGAUCCGCGCCGCAUUAGCUAGUUGGUAAGGUAACGGCUUACCAAGGCAACGAUGCGUAGCCGACCUGAGAGGGUGAUCGGCCACACUGGAACUGAGACACGGUCCAGACUCCUACGGGAGGCAGCAGUAGGGAAUCUUCCGCAAUGGGCGAAAGCUUGACGGAGCAGCGCCGCGUGAGUGAUGAAGGUCUUCGGAUCGUAAAACUCUGUUAUUAGGGAAGAACAAAUGUGUAAGUAACUAUGCACGUCUUGACGGUACCUAAUCAGAAAGCCACGGCUAACUACGUG
rnacentral:rRNA from 1 species